rnacentral:rRNA from 1 species
CGGAGGCAGCAGUGGGGAAUCUUCCGCAAUGGACGAAAGUCUGACGGAGCAACGCCGCGUGAACGAUGAAGGCUUUCGGGUCGUAAAGUUCUGUUGUUAGGGAAGAACAAGUACCAGAGUAACUGCUGGUACCUUGUCGGUACCUAACCAGAAAGCCACGGCUAACUACGUGCCAGCAGCCGCGGUAAUACGUAGGUGGCAAGCGUUAUCCGGAAUUAUUGGGCGUAAAGCGCGCGCAGGUGGUUCUUUAAGUCUGAUGUGAAAGCCCCCGGCUCAACCGGGGAGGGUCAUUGGAAACUGGGGAACUUGAGUGUAGAAGAGGAAAGUGGAAUUCCACGUGUAGCGGUGAAAUGCGUAGAGAUGUGGAGGAACACCAGUGGCGAAGGCGACUUUCUGGUCUAUAACUGACACUGAGGCGCGAAAGCGUGGGGAGCAAACAGGAUUAGAUACCCCGGUAGUCCG